GUACCUACCCAGGUUAAAMCAGAUAAUGGGCCAAGCCAUUGUUGAGUGUGCCCAUGGCACCCUGAAAACUAUGCUAAAAACAGAAAGGAGGAGUAGGGACUGCUACCCCUGAGGAAUGUCUACAGAAAGCCUUAUAUGUUUUUAACUUUUUGAAUUGUUCUUUAAUAGAUAAUAAUCCCCCGAUAGUUCGACAUUUUAAUGCAAAUUCUUCACUUGAAGCACAAAUUAAAGCUCCGGUGCUCGUAUGAGAUCCCGAAACACAAAAAGGCCCUCGAUGGAUUCCAGCAAAAAGUGUGCGGCCUUUCCGUGAAUCAUUACCACGAUCAUCGGACAACGAACUGGACCACUCCCAAGACAGACCUCCUGAGCAGCAAGC